GACGAACGCUGGCGGCGUGCCUAAUACAUGCAAGUAGAACGCACAGUUUAUACCGUAGCUUGCUACACCAUAGACUGUGAGUUGCGAACGGGUGAGUAACGCGUAGGUAACCUGCCUGGUAGCGGGGGAUAACUAUUGGAAACGAUAGCUAAUACCGCAUAAUAUUAAUUAUUGCAUGAUAAUUAAUUGAAAGGUGCAAUUGCACCACUACCAGAUGGACCUGCGUUGUAUUAGCUAGUAGGUGAGGUAACGGCUCACCUAGGCGGCGAUACAUAGCCGACCUGGGAGGGUGAUCGGCCACACUGGGACUGAGACACGGCCCAGACUCCUACGGGAAGCAGCAGUAGGGAAUCUUGGGCAAUGGACGAAAGUCUGACCGAGCAACGCCGCGUGAGUGAAGAAGGUUGUCGGAUCGUAAAGCUCUGUUGUAAGAGAAGAACGGGUGUGAGAGUGGAAAGUUCACACUGUGACGGUAUCUUACCAGAAAGGGACGGCUAACUACGUG
rnacentral:rRNA from 1 species